UACAGAGGGUGCAAGCGUUGUUCGGAAUUAUUGGGCGUAAAGCGCGUGUAGGCGGCUUUGCAAGUCGGGUGUGAAAUCCCCUGGCUCAACCGGGGAACUGCGCCGGAAACUGGCAGACUAGAGUACCGGAGAGGAGGGUGGAAUUCCUGGUGUAGCGGUGAAAUGCGUAGAUAUCAGGAGGAACACCGGUGGCGAAGGCGGCCCUCUGGACGGAUACUGACGCUGAGGCGCGAAAGCGUGGGGAUCAAACAGG
rnacentral:rRNA from 1 species